GCCGCCCGAUCCCUCACGCCGGGGCUCAACGACAGCGGCGCUUGCGCCCCCGGUGGCCGGUCCUGUCACCUAGAGCAGUCGAACCAUUAAAACUGGCGACAUUGCAUCCUGCAGGAUCACCCGUACGUCUCUCUCCCGCUUAAACCACCGCCACCACACUCUCCAGUUCUCCAUGCCCCUGUCCUCCCAUCCACUGUUGGCAAUCUAGCCAACUCGCGCGCGAGAUGCUCGGCGAAAUAUCCCGCAGAUCAGAGCGGGUCUCCCUCUCCGGACGCCCUCGCCGCCCGCCGCGACGUGCUCGGUUCCGGCAAUUGGAACUAGCUACGGACAACGGAAGCGUCAUCCUCUGGCGUCGCGGUGUCGGCGUCGGCGUCGGCGUUGCUUCAACUACCGAGGUGGAACGAGCGGCACCGGCACAAGGUCUGCUUCGAGGACGCGCUGCGGCUGUACGACUGCGCGCUCGCCGUGUGCCUCGACAGCGCUACGUGCCGCAGCAGCAACCGUGCCGCCGCGGCUUACCGGGUUCGGUCGUCUCGGCGAAGCCGUCGGGGAGCGCGAGGAGGCCCUCCGGCUUAGACCCGUCGUACAGCCGCGCGCACCAGCACCUCGUGUCACUGCAGAUAAGGCUAGGACAAUUUGUUUCUUCUGCAUAUCUCUUUAAAUCUGGAAAAUAUGGAGAAGCCUACCCACCAUAUGGCGUAUAGUGAAGGGCUUAAGCAUCAUCCUGUGAAUCCUGUCCUCUACUGUAAUAGGCAAUGGGAGCAGAUGAGCAGUAUUGAUGAUUGCAAGGAUUCAACCCAACUAUACAAAUUCUCUUCUAAGAUGUGCAACUUCCUAUUGCAAGGUCUUCAGAAGGGGAGUGACAAGGAAGUCCUGGAAUCUGGUGCAGAUACCCUCAAGUAGGCGGCUUUAUACUUCCACCAGCAACGCCAAGACAACAGCUGCAUGAUGCUCCCCUACUGAAUCUGGAGAAGAAUGGCGCCGUCGACUCUACAUCCGGACUGUCGCUGCUGAAAAGCCUUUUAUACAUCUCUUUUGCUGUGUUCCUUCGGUGUUCCCCAGCGUUAGUUGAGUCUGGGUCUUAGUUACUUUUCGGUACUUGGUAAUAGCUUAAUUUUGUGCUUUGUUUUGGUACUUGUUAAACCAGUGCUACCUUUACUGCUCGGGACACACUCUGCUGUAAUUUCGUUGCUUAUGGUAAUGAAAUUCGGGCUCGCCCCACGUUGGAAAAAGGGAGUCAGUCAAUUUCAAAUGGACGGAUCUUUUCAUAUAUAAUUCCAUCUAUUUAUUUUAGGAUCCUUAUUUUGUUAUUUUUUCUGUCCAUAUCAGAUGUAUCAACUAGAUUAAUUCUUUCCCAUGCU